AUGCAGGUCCUAACGGAGGAGCUGGCGAGCCUGGACGUCACGAUCCCCUCAAGCCUGAUCAGCCGCGUCAAGGCCGAGUGCGGCGGCGACUGCAUGACGUUCGAGGUCGUGGCUGCGGCGCUCUGGCGGAGCCGCACCCGCGCGAUCUUCUCCGGCGACGACCCCGACGACCCCGCGAUGCUCUUCUUCCCGAAAAACAUGCGCGAGAAGGUCGGCGCCGAUCGCGGCUACUAUGGCAACUGCUUCGGCAGCCAGCUGGUGGUGGCGACGAGCGGCGCGGUGGCGGGCGCCGAGAUCAAGGACCUGGUGAAGCUCAUAAAGGGCCACGCGGAUAUACUGGAUCUGCUGAUGGAUGCCGGCGCCGCCUCGGGGAACGACCUGGGCAGGCUCAUGUCAUCCCCGAGGUACCACGCGAUCGCCGUCUCGAGCUGGCAGAAGCUUGGGCUGGAGGCGGCGGACUUCGGACGCGGGAAGCCGGCGAGGGUGAUGUGGCAGCCGGAGAAAGCGGUGGGGUUUUUCUGCGUGGUGUGCCCGCCGUGCAUGGGGAAGGACGGCGUCAACGUCAUGUCCCGCUGCGUCACGCCGGAGCACGCCGAGGCAUUCCUACGGGAGCUGGCCGCCCUCGACAUGUAG
rnacentral:rRNA from 1 species